rnacentral:rRNA from 1 species
AGUGAACGCUGGCGGUAUGCCUAACACAUGCAAGUCGAACGACAAGACAGUAAGAUCGCGCUUUUACGGGUAGCGAGUGGCGGACGGGUAAGGAGUGCAUCGCAAUCUACUUUUUCGUGGAUGAUUACGGAAUGCAACUUACGCUAAUACCGAAUACGUCCUACGGCAGGAAGCAGUGGUUCUUCACACCUUUCGCGAUUCAAUGAGCCGAUGUCGGAUUAGCUAGUUGGCGAGGUAAAGGCCCACCAAGGCAACGAUCCGUAGCUGGUCUGAGAGGAUGAUCAGCCACACUGGAACUGAGACACGGUCCAGACUCCUACGGGAGGCAGCAGUGGGGAAUAUUGGACAAUGGGCGCAAGCCUGAUCCAGCCAUACCGCGUGGGUGAAGAAGGUCUUCGGAUUGUAAAGCUCUUUUGUUGGGAAAGAAAAGCUGCAGGUUUAUCCCUGGCUGUUUUGACGGUACCUAAAGAAUAAGCCCCGGCUAACUUCGUG